AAGGGGAGUGGCAGACGGGUGAGGAACACGUGGGAACGUACCCUUUGGUUCGGAACAACCCUGGGAAACUAGGGCUAAUACCGGAUACGAGCGAGAGCUGAAAGGUUUACCGCCGAAGGAUCGGCCCGCGUCUGAUUAGCUAGUUGGUGAGGUAAUGGCUCACCAAGGCGACGAUCAGUAGCUGGUCUGAGAGGAUGAUCAGCCACAUUGGGACUGAGACACGGCCCAAACUCCUACGGGAGGCAGCAGUGGGGAAUAUUGGACAAUGGGCGCAAGCCUGAUCCAGCCAUGCCGCGUGAGUGAUGACGGCCCUAGGGUUGUAAAGCUCUUUUACCCGGGAAGAUAAUGACGGUACCGGGAGAAUAAGCCCCGGCUAACUUCGUGCCAGCAGCCGCGGUAAUACGAAGGGGGCUAGCGUUGUUCGGAUUUACUGGGCGUAAAGCGCACGUAGGCGGACGCUUAAGUCAGGGGUGAAAUCCCGAGGCUCAACCUCGGAACUGCCUUUGAUACUGGGUGUCUUGAGUCCGGAAGAGGUGAGUGGAACUGCGAG
rnacentral:rRNA from 1 species